AAUGAAUCAAGGCAAGUCUGAUGUCUUACAAGUUUUGUUUGUAUUUUCCACUUUGGCCUGAAAUUUACUUGAUGUUUGAACGUCUCAUAGUGACCUUUAUAAGGGUUUCUUGUUGCUAUUGUGUGUUGUUUACUUUUUCUGCAAUUAUGCAUCAUAUUAUUUCUCUGAUUUCAAAACUGUUUAGAACAUCCGAAAACAUAAAGGUUACAUUCAAAUGAUCUUUUGAGGACUUAUAGGGCAACCACUGAGAGGGAGAGUCUGCUGCUCUGCAGUAGGCCUUGUUCAUGGUUCUCCUUUUCAUUUUAUUAGUUUAAGUAAUCUUUUUUCUUCUAUAAAUUAAUAGUGUUACCUUGCACCAUUCAAAAAGUUGA
rnacentral:misc_RNA from 1 species